CCCAACAGGCGCUUCUCUGUCCACUUAAAUACCCAGCCGUUACUUUUACCUCUUCCUUUUACCCUGAAAUAGUCACGUCUGCUCCGCUUAUCAGGACUUCGUGUCCGUCUGUGGUAAUUUUCCUCAUAGGGGAGAAUAAACAAUGUCCGGCGACUGAAGAACACUGUGUCUUGUCUCAGCAGAGUAAAGAACAAAGGUAGAACAGGAAGAAGCUGUAGAAAAGGAGCAAUGGAUGUAUCCCAAAACAUACAUACAUCAACAAACCUAGAAAAGAGCAGCCGAAGCAACAUCAGCAACAACAUGCAUCUUCUCCACCGCAGAUCACACCGUCUGCGUCUUCGCCUUCGCCUUCGUCUUCAUCGUCAUCACCUACAGGCAGUGCGGCUCCUUAUUUUCCUAUUAAGGUAUAUCUCCAAUGCCUUUCUCUAUACCUCUUCGUCCUCCCACUCAGCAAAGGUAAAUGUUUAUCUGUUUCUCAUGUUUGAUUCUGAAACCUGAAUUCUUGAAUUGUUCUAAUUUUGUGAUUUGUGAUAUGUGCUUUAUCUAUUUCUCAUGUCUGAUUAACAAGGAGUAUAUGUUUGUUUGAUCUUUUAUUCGGAAUACUUGGAUGAAAAACAAUACUAAUUCGGUGUUUGUCAGUUAAUCUUUCCCUUUCUUCAUUUUCGCUUUCAAAAUUCCAACCUUUUCUCUAGCUGGAGAGAGAAAACAAAAUUCAUGCAAUCAAUUGUCAAAUUUGUGUUUUUUUACACCAGCUUCUUUAUAUGAAAAUUCAUCCUAAUGCUUAACGAUGCAAUUCUGUUUCAGAGCAUUACAGAUUUUUCCUUCAAUAUGCAUAUUGACUAUGUCAGGUUGUUGUGGUCAUAUGCACAUACUCUUCCACUUGAGAAUUCAACUGUUGAAGAAUGAUAUGUAGGAAACAACAAUUUUCAACUUCACUCUCCUUCUCAUUCAAUUAUUAUUACUUUUACUAAAACUUAGAUCUAUACAUUUAUUAAAACUAGGCAUAGAGUAGGUGAUGUGACACUCUCUAAAGCCAAGAAAUGAAACCUACUUAUCUCUUUUCUCCCUUUUUUGGUCAUUUUUCUUUUUCUCCUGAUUUCCCAUUCAUUUGAAAGUAAUUACCUACGUAUUCAAUCAAUUAAUUUGAUAACGGGCACCUAAUUAUAUGGAAGUUAAAAGAGUAUAUCAUCUUAAAUGACUUUUGUAACGACACUACAUUAAUUCUCCAGACUCAAAUACAUGUACUUAUUAAUCUUGCAUUGCUGAAGUUGGAGGAUAUAACACUACAUUUAUAUGGAGGAUUAUUUGCUUAGAAGAUGGGAGGUCAGGCUCUAAUUUCUGAUGCCAUCUGUUCAUGUUCCUUUUCAUGUCUAGAAAGGCUUGCCAUUCAUAAAAAGCUUAUUCUAAAGCAGCCAAUGUAGUUGAUCAAGCAUUUGGCUCCAUCAGAACAGUUGCAUCAUUCACAAGUGAGAAGCAGGCUUUCGAGGAGUAUAGUAAGUCCUCACAAAAGGGAUACAGAUCUGGUGUACAGGGAAGGACUUGCAAGUGGCUUAGGCUUGGGAUCAGCCGAUUAAUUUAUUCUUUUCUGCAAUUAUUCUUUGGCUUUCUGAUAUGGGGUAAAUAUGAUGCUUUGACUUCUUUAUUUCUAAAUGUACUAAGGUAAUUGAUAAUUUGCAAUAAGAUCAUAAAAGAUCGUAUAUUGUGUCAUCAUAUAAGUCUCUUAAUUCGACUAAAGUUCUACUUUGACAUGAUAGGUAACGACAAAGUAUCAUUCUCUCUUUGUUUUGGCAGUACGGAAACAAUUGUCAAAUUAAUCGAAAGUUUUUCAUUAAUUCAUGUCAGGAGACCAUUAAAGAUCGGGUUGCUAAUUAUGUAUCUUUGGCCUAAACUCGUGAAGUGCAGAUUUUUGAUCCAUCGAAAGCAAUGAAAAGACAUGUGGGGUUCCUGCAUUCUGAGGGCAAUGGAGCUGAGAAAGAAAGAUCUAUUUGGUGAAUCUGGUCCUUACGUUAAAGUUAAGCUCACUGAGUCUAAACUUCCUUUAAAGAAAAUCACUGUGAAGCAGAAUUUAAAUCCAAAGUUGGAUGAGGAAUUUAACAUGGUUUUUAAAGAUCUAGAAUCACAAGUAUUGGAGCUACCUGUUUAUGAAGCACUCCGAAGGAUUUGCUAUUUGCUAUUGACUUGAAUAUAGUUGUUUAUUUUACAUUUUAUUCCACAUUCAGUAGAUCAUGCGUGUUAUACAUUUUGAUAGCUCUGCUUCUGUGGAACCUA